CUUUAUUGGAGAGUUUGAUCCUGGCUCAGGAUGAACGCUGGCGGCGUGCCUAAUACAUGCAAGUCGAGCGAAUGGAUUAAGAGCUUGCUCUUAUGAAGUUAGCGGCGGACGGGUGAGUAACACGUGGGUAACCUGCCCAUAAGACUGGGAUAACUCCGGGAAACCGGGGCUAAUACCGGAUAACAUUUUGAACCGCAUGGUUCGAAAUUGAAAGGCGGCUUCGGCUGUCACUUAUGGAUGGACCCGCGUCGCAUUAGCUAGUU
rnacentral:rRNA from 1 species